UGGAUCCAGACUUUGAUCAUGGCUCAGGACGAACGCUGGCGGCGUGCUUAACACAUGCAAGUCGAACGAGAGGAGAAGGAAGCUUGCUUCUUUCAAAUCUAGUGGCAAACGGGUGAGUAACACGUAAACAACCUGCCUUCAGGAUGGGGACAACAGACGGAAACGACUGCUAAUACCGAAUACGUUCCUUAGGUCGCAUGACUUUAGGAAGAAAGGGUGGCCUCUGCUUGUAAGCUAUCGCCUGAAGAGGGGUUUGCGUCUGAUUAGGUAGUUGGUGAGGUAACGGCCCACCAAGCCGACGAUCAGUAGCCGGUCUGAGAGGAUGAACGGCCACACUGGAACUGAGACACGGUCCAGACUCCUACGGGAGGCAGCAGUGGGGAAUCUUCCGCAAUGGGCGAAAGCCUGACGGAGCAACGCCGCGUGAGUGAUGACGGCCUUCGGGUUGUAAAGCUCUGUGAUCGGGGCCGAACGGUCAGCAGACGAAUACUCUGCUGAAGUGACGGUACCCGAAUAGCAAGCCACGGCUAACUACGUGCCAGCGGCCGCGGUAAUACGUAGGUGGCAAGCGUUGUCCGGAAUUAUUGG
rnacentral:rRNA from 1 species